AGAGUUUGAUCCUGGCUCAGGAUGAACGCUAGCGACAGGCUUAACACAUGCAAGUCGAGGGGCAGCACAGGUAGCAAUACCGGGUGGCGACCGGCGCACGGGUGAGUAACGCGUAUGCAACUUGCCUAUCAGAGGGGGAUAACCCGGCGAAAGUCGGACUAAUACCGCAUGAAGCAGGGGCCCCGCAUGGGGAUAUUUGCUAAAGAUUCAUCGCUGAUAGAUAGGCAUGCGUUCCAUUAGGCAGUUGGCGGGGUAACGGCCCACCAAACCGACGAUGGAUAGGGGUUCUGAGAGGAAGGUCCCCCACAUUGGUACUGAGACACGGACCAAACUCCUACGGGAGGCAGCAGUGAGGAAUAUUGGUCAAUGGCCGAGAGGCUGAACCAGCCAAGUCGCGUGAGGGAUGAAGGUUCUAUGGAUCGUAAACCUCUUUUAUAAGGGAAUAAAGUGCGGGACGUGUCCCGUUUUGUAUGUACCUUAUGAAUAAGGAUCGGCUAACUCCGUGCCAGCAGCCGCGGUAAUACGGAGGAUCCGAGCGUUAUCCGGAUUUAUUGGGUUUAAAGGGUGCGUAGGCGGCCUUUUAAGUCAGCGGUGAAAGUCUGUGGCUCAACCAUAGAAUUGCCGUUGAAACUGGGGGGCUUGAGUAUGUUUGAGGCAGGCGGAAUGCGUGGUGUAGCGGUGAAAUGCUUAGAUAUCACGCAGAACCCCGAUUGCGAAGGCAGCCUGCCAAGCCAUGACUGACGCUGAUGCACGAAAGCGUGGGGAUCAAACAGGAUUAGAUACCCUGGUAGUCCACGCAGUAAACGAUGAUCACUAGCUGUUUGCGAUACACUGUAAGCGGCACAGCGAAAGCGUUAAGUGAUCCACCUGGGGAGUACGCCGGCAACGGUGAAACUCAAAGGAAUUGACGGGGGCCCGCACAAGCGGAGGAACAUGUGGUUUAAUUCGAUGAUACGCGAGGAACCUUACCCGGGUUUGAACGCAUUCGGACCGAGGUGGAAACACCUUUUCUAGCAAUAGCCGUUUGCGAGGUGCUGCAUGGUUGUCGUCAGCUCGUGCCGUGAGGUGUCGGCUUAAGUGCCAUAACGAGCGCAACCCUUGCCACUAGUUACUAACAGGUUAGGCUGAGGACUCUGGUGGGACUGCCAGCGUAAGCUGCGAGGAAGGCGGGGAUGACGUCAAAUCAGCACGGCCCUUACAUCCGGGGCGACACACGUGUUACAAUGGCGUGGACAAAGGGAAGCCACCUGGCGACAGGGAGCGAAUCCCCAAACCACGUCUCAGUUCGGAUCGGAGUCUGCAACCCGACUCCGUGAAGCUGGAUUCGCUAGUAAUCGCGCAUCAGCCAUGGCGCGGUGAAUACGUUCCCGGGCCUUGUACACACCGCCCGUCAAGCCAUGGGAGCCGGGGGUACCUGAAGUCCGUAACCGCGAGGAUCGGCCUAGGGUAAAACUGGUGACUGGGGCUAAGUCGUAACAAGGUAGCCGUACCGGAAGGUGCGGCUG
rnacentral:rRNA from 1 species